UUUUUUUUUUUUUUUUUUGGAAAGGUGUCAUUGUCUCACCCGGAGACAUCAACCAGAUCAAAUCUCUGGCACUGAAAAUGGAGGUGGCUCGAAAGCGGAGGCGAACUGACCUGGGAGCGCGGAGUCGCCAUGUGGCUCCUCGGCCACCCCUCUCACAGCUGGUGUGUAUUUGAUGGCGGGCGAUAGUAAAGUUUAUUUAACAGGCGCAAGUAAAGAUUUGGGAAAGCCUCCGUUUUAAUGAUAUUCUCAUGAUGGUUCCACCACUUAAGGUUCUUUGGUUUCUAGCAACACAACUCAUCUUACCUAAUUUAAGUAAAAAAGAACCUUAAGGGGACUGGAUCUCUGAACAGAAAGAGCAUAACAACAGACAGACGAAGGGCUGGAUCAGGGCCGCUCCUGGGUCGAGGCACGAGGAAGCGGUGACUGAGGGAGCAGCAGGACACGGAGGAGUGGACCUCAUUGGCCUCCGUCUCCGUCGGUCCGCACAAUGCCCAUCUCCCCAGACAGGGGCAGGACUGGUGCGGGCCCCAAGGCCCAGAGGCAGGAGGCAUAGCUCGGGAAAAGGAGGAAAGGAGUGGUGGGGAAACUUAGUGGUGAAGAAGGAAGGUUGCCGAGGAGUCGGCCGCAGCCCCGCCGCCUCCCAGUGACAGGAAGACCUGAGGGUUCAGAGACAGAUGUGAUGACCCAGAAUGAGCCUGCCCCAGACACACCUGCUUGCUGUUGGCCUCUGCACUGGCUCUCCGCACAGCUCCAAGAGUUGCUGUCCUUUCCCCAAGAGAAGCACUCACAGCAUGGAGCCUGGCUUGAAUGGUCGGAAUACCUUAUCUAAGAAAACACCUAGAAGUUCAACCAAAAGCAGAUGUCAAGAAGCAGGUGGGGGAGUUCCCACUGUGGCUCAGGAGGUUAAGAACCCAACAUUGUCCCUUUGAGGAUGUGGGUUCAAUUCUUGGCCUCACUCCAAUGAGGAUGUUGAGGUGUGGGUUGCAGACACGGCUCAGAUCCAGUACUGUGGUCCAUAUGCCGCAGGUGCGGCCCUUAAAAAAAGAAAAAAGGAGUGUGUGGAAAUCCCCAAUGUCUUCCAUCCUAGACAUUUUCCUUGUAUUCCACUUCGGAGGGAAGACCCCGGAAUCCAAGUCAGGCUCUGUUGGUGGCUCUCCCAAGACGCUGCCCUGUGCCCUGUUGCUCUGGUCCCACCCCCCAUCUUCCUAGAGGAUCUCAGCUGCACCUGCUGGCUUGCGGAUUCACUCCGAGAGAGGCAAAGACCCCGCAGCUGCGUGUUUGGGGACUGUUGCUUCUGCCCCUCCCAUGGUCUCUGAAGCCCCCUUCACACUGGCAGGCAUCUCAGAGGCUCAGAAAAUAAGCCGUCACUCAGAAUGAAUGACAGCCACCAAGGGGCUAGCUGGCUGCUCUGUGCUGACCAAGGCCCCCAGUCUCUUCAUAGGUCUGCCUGUUCGGAGCCCAUGAGCGCUAAAGAAAGCCAGCCCUCGCCACACGCAGCCCACCUGCCCAGGGUCUGGCAUCCGCUUCCUCCUCUAUUCAUUUAGACGUUUCCACGGCUCUUUUUAGCCAAAGAGUACACAGCAGCACUUCUCUUCUUUGGUUACAGGUGCCCUGUGGUCAAAUGUUUCCCCCUCUCUCUCUCUCUCUAUUUUGCUGUAUUCCUGGCAUUUCAUUCAAGGCUUAUGUGAAGGCUUUUAGCAUUUCUCUCCCAAGUUUCCCAUGCACCUCACAAGGUGCUUUUUAAAAGCUUUGCAGAGUGCUGAGCACAGUAAUUGAAUCAUUUCUUUGCUGUUUAGAUGUCUGGAUACAAUGAAGUCUCUCGAUAAGAAGCGUGCCCUCCCCGGCCUGGCGUUACGGUCAGUUUCUGUAGCUAUUAAGCAAAGCCAUAAGCUUUUUGGGAAAAGCCUGCCCACCUGGGACAUUUUGUAUUAUUGUUUUUCCAAAGGAUACAGUUCAUGAUUGCCGAGGUUCUUUCUUUGCCUCAUGAAUAAUACACCAAGGAUAAUAGACUGUUCUCUAUUUUUUAUUUAUGAAUCUAGGAUUUGGGGCAGGAAAAAGCAGAGCUCAGUUGUUCUGAGGAGGGUGUAUCCCCGUCGGGAUGCAUCCACUGUGCCCAGGCACACACGUAGCUGACCAGGAAUGCCAGAGCAGGGCCACAGCCUUUGUGCCCCAUGCAUGAAGGGCCAAGUAGCACUGCAUUCUGAGAAAAUCCCCAGAGAUCAGUCCUCAUCAGAAAGGAGCCUCGUGCAAAUUUUGGAGACAAAGGAAAAUAGCUAUUUCCACAUUUCAACACCUCAACUUGUUAAAGCAAAUAUGCUAGCUUUGUAGUUGAAUCCACCAGCAUGGCCAUUACAAAUGGAAUCGCACUUUAAGAAAAAGAAUUAGGAGCCCCUAGUGGCUCGGCAGGUUAAGGAUCCAGCGUUGUCACUGCUGUGGCGUGUGGUGUCAAUCCCUGGCCCAGGAACUUGCUGCAGGCGUGGCCAAAAAAAAUUGUUUUCAAUAAAAUUUUUUUAAAAGAGUAAGGGUUUCCCAUUGCGGCUCAGCAUGCUCACCUGCCCUCGUGUCCUUAAGGAUGUGGGUUCCAUCCCUGGCCUCGCUCAGCGGGUUAAGGAUCUGCAGUUGCCAUGAGCUGUGGCGUAGGCCUGCAGCUGCAGCUCCCAUUCGACCCCUAGCCUGGGGAUGUCCCCACGUCACAGGCAUGACGGUAAAAGAAAAAAGAGAGAGAAGAAAAAUUAAGCAAAACACAAGCUAUAAUGCUGCUCUGUACUGGAAGAUUUUCUGAGCUAUGCUUCAGCCAUGGACUUCUGCUGUCCAAAAGUGUCUCAGAAAUGACUGAAAACUCAUGACGACCCAAAAAUCCGGUCCACACUGAAACCUAAGACAAUCAUGCCCCAGAUUUGGAAGCCAACCCAGCCAAGACACGUGAGUCUUUUGUGCCUCGGUUAUCAAGAUAUGUGGGUAAUCCUUGGCGUCCCUUCGACUGGCCCCAGGAAACUGAGUUGGUGAGACUGACUCCUCCCUCCUGGAAGCAUUUAAAUAGACUGAGAAGGCUCUGUCUCCCUAGGCUUCAGCCCUGCUCUGUGAGUGGCUCCCGGGGCCGAGAAAGCCAGGCGCUGUGCCAGGCUCUGACGUCACCCAGGGCUACGUGCCCCUGGGCCCACCAGCACGGGCACAUGUUGCCUGGAUAUUCAGCACUCAGAAGCAGUCUUCAGCUGGAGCCCCGCAAAGACCCCCAAUCAUGGUGCCCACCUCCCUCUGGGGACAGUCGCUAGGGUCACCAGGAGAGUAUGGAAUGUGGGGAAGAACGCGUCUUAAUUCCUCCUAGUUCGCUCCCAAUGGCCAGUGGAGUCAACAGGCAUAGGCCACCAGACUCUUAGAGCCGACGGGCUCAGUGGCGAAGUGGACAGACUCACAUGACCACACAAACAAACCAUGUUUGCCGGGCUUCCACUGCCUGCCCUGCAGGGGCUCCUGGUGGCUCUUCUGAUCAGGCUGUUCAUUCCAAUUGCUCUGCUGGAGUGACGACACCUGAGGCUACACUGCCAAGCUCAGCUGCUCCACGAGAGGGAAGUCAAGAGAAUUAGCCAGGUAGCAAAACAUGGCAGGUGCACCUCCCUGGUCGAGACACAGGAAAGGGGUUCCCUUUGUGGCUCAGUGGGUUAACAACCCACCUAGAAUCCAGGAAAAUGCAGUUCGAUCCUGGCCUCGCUCAGUGGGUCAAGGAUCUGGCAUUGCCAAAAGCUGUGGUGUAGGCCACAGAGGUGGCUAGGAUCCAUCAUGGCUGUGGCUGUGGUGUAGGCUACCAACUGCAGCUCUGAUUCGACCCCUAGCCUGGGAACUUCCACAUGCCACUUCAGGGGUGGCCUUAAAAAAUGCCACACCUGCAGAAAAAAAAAAGGAUCAAUUAUGUUAGUCAUAUGAUGAAAUUACAGAGAGAAAUGGAGAUGAAUAAACAACACACGAUACCAUGAAUUAAUCUCACAAAGGUAAUAUUAAGAAGAGGAGACUCUGGCACAUUUCCACGUCUACGGAACACAGUCAGGGGAGCACAGUGCCUUGUUAGGGGCCUGCGUGGGGAGGCGAUGAGCUUCUAGGUAAAGAAGUGGGCACCGGUGUUAGGGUCCUGCUCACCUCUGGCCGGGAGAAGGGCACUGGGCUGGAGGGAGCACGGGCAGGCCUCUGGCCUCCGUCUCCCCCACUCCUGUGCGGUUAGACGGGCCAGCCGCUGGCUCAGGUCUCCACUUCCCAGCAGAGCCGUGGAGGCGGCGGCACGGCUUCCAGGGAGCUUGGCGCCCACUCAGCAAACCAGCAGGGCCACAGGCCUCCCGCUCCCGGCCGAGGUCCCCCAUUCUGGCUUGCAUUUGGCCUUCAGAGUGCCGUUUCCUAAUUCCAUCUUUAGUUCCUCUCUGGAACCAGCUGGGGAGGAAGCCCAGAUCGGUAACUAAUGGACCCAGUGGAAUGAUAAGCUCUCCCGGAGAAGAGAAGGCCUGGAGCCUUGCAGACGAGCUCCCAUUAACCAAGUCAGCUAGUGCCCCUUGGCAGGUGCAGGAGAAAUGGUUCCGAGAACUCGAGUCACUGAGCUGGGGCCGCCACCCAGAGUCCGAGAGAAGAGCCCGCUGGGGCAGCACGCUCCGGUCUAUUUGUAUCAUCUGUCUGAUCUGUUCUCAGCUCCAGCUGUACACUUGAAUCCCUUGAGCAGCUCUUCUCCCCAAGCCGAUGACAUCAGAACCUCCGGGGGAAGCCUGCAGGCAUCCGUGCCAGGCAACAGCUCCCCAGAGACGUCUGGAGGGCAGCCAGAGCGGAGAGGCACCCUUGGCUUGUUUACAGCUGCCGACUGUGUCCCGGGCACCUGUGAGCAACAGCAACAGAGGCGUCAGCCAGGAGAGCCCGCCCUCACCAUCCACAGAGACCUACGCAAAAGAAAAUCAUGGGUCCGUCAGGGACCACGCACCCAUGGGGAGGCAGGUCGCUCAUCUUGAGAAGCAGAUGUUUUUAAAGGGGGGAGAGGAUUCCGGCUGGUGACCUUCAGUGAAUCGCGUUUCGCUGUCACACCGUCAACAUGCAUUCAGACCAUUGCCGAGGACUGGUUCUGCUUAUGAGAUAAGCAUCCUCCCCUGUGACUCCGUGACCCUGCUGUCCUCUUCGUCUCGUGAGAAACCUCGUUCAGAGUCUCCCCUUUGCUCUGCAGGAUGUACGUAAGCAGCAUUUUCCUCCUUCCUCUAAGUGCGGCCUUUCCCCGCUGGCCUUGAACUCCAGAAAUGGGACAGACAGGCUUGCGCUCUUGGUGAGUUUUGUGUUUACAAUGAUGGCUGAAUUUUCUUUAUCCUUUUGGACCAAGACGCUUGAUAUUUUAAAUGACCUCGCUCUCUUUUUAGAAGGGAUGAUUAAAUGUGCGUGUCAUUGGCCUGUGUCCCCCCAUAAUGAAGCACCUGGGGUCUGUAAUUCUCAGCUCCGCUGCAUUAGCAGGGCGCAGGGAAAAUAUUUACUUAGCACUUAUCAUGUGUCAAGCAAUUUGCUAUGUGCUUUACAUACAUUAUCUAAAUGAUGUCUCCCAGUAAUAUCAGACCUUUGGCACAAACCUCCCAGGUUACAAAUGCAGGGGGAAUGAGAUUCCGCGAGGACGGGUCAGAGGACAGGUAAAAAGCAGCCCUUUGAGGGUUUGACAAACAUCUCCGUCACAGUCAGAGCCGCUCUGUUUCCAAUCAGUGCCUCUUCCUGCCCCAAACUUCACCGCGUGGUGGUCACAGAUCUGUGCUCCCCACUCCGGCGACUUUCCCAAUGCAAACUCCCAAGUCUCAGCCGUUCCACACCGUGACAUGCUCUCGUUAAUUUAAUAAAUUAAAUCUGCUAACGGAAGAUGGUCCAGCCAAUGAAUCAGAAAGAGAUGAAUCAGAAAUGCACUUUGCUCUUAAGGGAAUUUAUAAACUAUUAGAGGGAGUGAUACACAUGCAUAAUACUAAUUAAAACCAAUACACCCGUGCAUCCCUGUCUUGGUCGGGGGAGAGGGAGUCGGGGAGAACCAGGGCCGGAGCCAAGGAGAGAGAAAGAGCCCAGGGCUCCAGACGGGCGUUCCGGUUGAGAUGCGUACAGCGCCUCUGGCAUCCCCUUCAAGGCUGGUUAUUGGCCCCAGGGUCUACUUUCUCCCAGACUCAGAGGUGGUGCCAAACUGCACUUGAAGUAGCCAGAGUCUAAAAAUACGAUACGCAUGAACUUAUUUCCAAAAUGA
rnacentral:lncRNA from 1 species